AUUGAACGCUGGCGGCGUGCCUAACACAUGCAAGUCGAGCGGCAGCGCGGGAGCAAUCCUGGCGGCGAGCGGCGGACGGGUGAGUAACGCUUGGGAAUCUGCCUGUUAGUGGGGGACAACCCGGGGAAACUCGGGCUAAUACCGCAUACGCACUACGGUGGAAAGCCGGGGACCGCAAGGCCUGGCGCUAACAGAUGAGCCCAAGUCGGAUUAGCUAGUUGGUAGGGUAACGGCCUACCAAGGCGACGAUCCGUAACUGGUCUGAGAGGACGACCAGUCACACCGGAACUGAGACACGGUCCGGACUCCUACGGGAGGCAGCAGUGGGGAAUAUUGGACAAUGGGGGAAACCCUGAUCCAGCGACGCCGCGUGGGUGAAGAAGGCCUGCGGGUUGUAAGCCCUUUCAGUGGGGAAGAAAGCUCGACCUAACACGUCGGGGUCUUGACGUAACCCAUAGAAGAAGCACCGGCUAACUCUGUGACAGCCGCCG
rnacentral:rRNA from 1 species